AGAGUUUGAUCCUGGCUCAGAAUCAACGCUGGCGGCGUGCCUAACACAUGCAAGUCGCACGAGAAAGGGUAGCAAUACCUGAGUACAGUGGCGCACGGGUGAGUAACACGUGAAUAAUCUACCUCCGAGUGGGGAAUAACUUAGGGAAACCUGAGCUAAUACCGCAUAACACUUACGAGUCAAAGCAGCAAUGCGCUUGGAGAGGAGUUCGCGGCAGAUUAGUUAGUUGGCGGGGUAAUGGCCCACCAAGACGAUGAUCUGUAUCCGGCCUGAGAGGGCGCACGGACACACUGGAACUGAAACACGGUCCAGACUCCUACGGGAGGCAGCAGUGGGGAAUUUUGCGCAAUGGGGGAAACCCUGACGCAGCAACGCCGCGUGGAGGAUGAAAUCCCUUGGGAUGUAAACUCCUUUCGAUCGGGACGAUUAUGACGGUACCGGAAGAAGAAGCCCCGGCUAACUUCGUGCCAGCAGCCGCGGUAAUACGAGGGGGGCGAGCGUUGUUCGGAAUUAUUGGGCGUAAAGGGUGCGUAGGCGGUUUGAUAAGUCUGAUGUGAAAUCUAUGGGCUCAACCCAUAGUCUGCAUUAGAAACUGUCGGGCUUGAGUAUGGGAGAGGUGAGUGGAAUUUCCGGUGUAGCGGUGAAAUGCGUAGAUAUCGGAAGGAACACCUGUGGCGAAAGCGGCUCACUGGACCAUUACUGACGCUGAUGCACGAAAGCUAGGGGAGCAAACAGGAUUAGAUACCCUAGUAGUCC
rnacentral:rRNA from 1 species